GACGAACGCUGGCGGCGUGCUUAACACAUGCAAGUCGAACGGGUCUGCCCUGUUUUUUGCGGGGUGGGUCAGUGGCGAACGGGUGAGUAACACGUGAGUAACCUGCCCCUCACUUCUGGAUAACCGCUUGAAAGGGUGGCUAAUACGGGGUGUUCUGGCUGUGCCGCAUGGUGUGGCUGGGAAAGAUUCACUUUUGUGGUGUUGUGGUGGGGGAUGGGCUCGCGGCCUAUCAGCUUGUUGGGGGGGUGAUGGCCUGCCAAGGCUUUGAGGGGUAGCCGGACUGGGAGGGUGGGCGGUCACACUGGGACUGAGAUACGGCCCAGACUCCUGGGGGAGGCAGCAGUGGGGGGUAUUGAACAGUGGGAGGAAGCCUGCUGCAGCGACGUCGCGUGAGGGAUGGAGGCCUGCGGGUUGUGAACCUCUUUCGCCGGUGAAGAAGGUCCUGCUCUUUGUGGUGGGGUUGACGGUAGCCGGGUUAUGAAGCGCCGGCUAACUACGUG
rnacentral:rRNA from 1 species